AAUCAAACGAAACAAUAAACAAAACAUUGAAAACAAAAGCAAAAAUCAAUGGAACAAAAUAAAAAGAAAUGAAAUUCAACAAAAAAUAUUCUUAUGUCUGCAAAGCAACUCCUUCACACAUCAUUCACAGCCCCGUUCAUUUAUUCAGAACCACUUGACUGCGGCGGGCAUUGGCUGCGUUUUGUAAAAAACGGAGUCAAAAUCGAAGAGAAUGGGUGCGGGAUUUUGGGCAGGACACGCGUCGCACAUUAAUGCAUUUCGCACAUUAACUUUACACUUGAAAAAGUUAAGUGGCAUUUGUAUGAUGUGCUCUGUGCAACGGAAGGAAGCAUAAAAUCUGUUCCAUUAAUCAUAAAGAAUGCAACAGGAUAUGCUUGAGGCUUUCAGGCUUUUACAACACUGAGAGACAACAGCAACAACAGCUACCACAUUGCGGAGGUAGGGGAGGAGGAGGAGGCGCAUUAUCAGCUUUCAAGGGGCUGGCAAUAAGGCCGCAUCCUGGCUGCGUUCACAGUCUCUCAGUCAUGCAGUCAGCAAGCCUUUAAAGCAUAUUUGCAGCUAAUUAAUUAGCGGGUAAAAGUCUGGGUAAGUAGCUCAGCCUGAGGUCACAUGCGCUUUUAAAUAGAUCAUUUCGAGUGUUUCGCAAAAUUCUAAAAAUAAAAACGUCAAUCAAGAGCUGCGAGAUUUUUGGGUUUUUGGAGUCCUUUAAGCCGUCGUGCAUUGAGCGCCUGUCACAACACUCAAAUUCUCAAUUCAGAGACAACACAAAACACAACACAACACUUCAGUCAAGUUCAAGUCCAUGUCGGUGAUACACAGAAAAAAAGAGAAGAAACCGACAGGCUUCAACUGUCGCCUACUUCAGUGUUGUGUGUGUGUUUUUUGCUCAUUAAAUCAACACCUCGGCCUUUGUGGAGUACAAUGGCCAAAAGCUGGACAGAUUUGUUGGGCAAAAUCAAAGAAUUUGGCUCAGCCUGACCAAACAAGGCCGCAUCCCAGGCGAGGACAACAACAGGCAGUAAAUGUGUCGUCGUAAGGGGAUUUUUGCAUUUGCAACCUUUUUGCGAUUUCAAUUUAAAAUUUAAACAAAUAUGCAGCCAGAGACAGGGACAGAGACGCAUGGCGAAUCCACAAGGAAUCGAGUCGAGGAAUGUGAGAAUUUCUGACUGCUAAAGCUGCAGAUACAGCUAAUAAUACAGAUAGUUUGAGUUUGCAGUUGAAGUGGAAGUUGAAGUUCGAAAUUACUUGCUGUACUUAGCGUGUUUACAUAAAUUAGCCUCAAGAGUGACGUUCACAGCGUUGCAGUUGCAGUUGCAGGACGUUGCAAAAGUUUUGUACACAAGAAUUUCCUCGUAAAAAUGACGCAUACCAAACUUAGACACAACGGGGACGACGACGACUACGACGACGAAUCGUUCGUGGAUGUCGCACUGCCUGACGUUCCGUUCCAAAACUCAACAAGGCUGAGUUCGAGCCAGACACCAAGCCCAAGUCGAGGUCCAGCUCCAUACCAAAUUGGUAUUGGUGUGCCAAGCGAAAUACUCGUACAAUAAAUAACGCAGCAAAAUAAAAGAAAAACUAAAAUAAAAAUAAAAAA